UUGGAUCUAACAAACAAAACAAAUUCAAAUUCAAAAAUAAUAAUUAAAAUUCAAAUAUUCAAAGUUUGGCAACGUCAUCUUCCUCCUCCCCUUCGCCGGUCAUCUUCCUCCUCCCCUUCGUUACCGCUUCAACACCAUGGACGCCGGCCACAACUGCCAUUAUGACGAAGGUUGAUUUAGUCUAGAAAUUAAAAGGAGAAAAAGAUAAGUUUUAGUGCAGUUGGUAUCCAAAUAUUUAUACAAAGGUAAUCAUUUUAGUUUUUGUGGGUAACCAAGAGAAAUUUCAGUGCAGUUGGUAACCAAAACUUUCAAAAGUAACAAUUUUAAUUUUUGUUGGUUACAUUUGUAUUAAGGUUUGGCUACCAAGAAAAAAAAAUUCUAUAAUAGAUUUUUUAUAAUUAAUUGGUAACCCAAUAAAACUGAAUUGGUUACCUUUGUAUUAAGGUUUGGCUACCAACUGCAUUAUAAAAAAAAAUCUACAAUACAUUUUUUUUAAUUAAUUGGUAUCCCAAUAAAACUGAAUUGAUUACAUUUGUAUAAAGUGUUAGCUACCAACUGCACUAUUAAAUAAAAAAAUCUAUAAUAGAUUUUUUAAAAAUAAAAUAGAAACCUAAUAACACUAAAUUGGUUACCUUGGUAUGAAUGUUUAGCUACCAACUGUACUAUAAAAAAAUGCAACUAUACUAUGAAAAAUCGAUCCAAUGAGCCAACUGUACUAUGAGAAUAUUUCGAGUGAGCCAAGGUGGCGGAGGUUCCGCCAGUGGUCGCCAUACGGGGACUGGGCGAUGGUGGUGUAGUUGUAGCCCAUGUAUUUUUCCAUGGCGAGACGGGGGCGGUUGGCCAAAAUUAUGUCGUUUUUGGUGAAGCAUUCUUCGGCAGCGAAGGCGGAGUACACCACCACCACAAGGCGGGACCCGAAUUGGAGAGAGAAGAUUGGGGCGAACUUGGUGGAGAGCGUGUGUAGGGGUCCGGUGGAGUGGUGAGUCGUUGAGGAGGAGGAGGAGGUGGCCUAGUAGUGGUAGUUUUAGGAGUGGACUUGGCGGUAAACGGCAGCGGAUUUUUGAUUUUGAAAAUAAUCUGGUAGAGAGAAUUAGGAGGAAGAGAGAGAAAGAUGCGUACAAAAGUACCCAUUUUAUUUAAUUUAAUAAGUAAAUUAAUAUUAAUCCCCUAAAUUAAGGAAUCCUAAUUGCAUACUAAUUCCUUAAAUUAAGGAAUCCUAAUUGCACUAAUAUUGUAAAUAAAUAUAAAAGUGUAUUAAUUAUAAAAAUAUUUUAUAAGUGAACUAUUGUUAUAAUUAUUAUUAAAAAUAUAAUAAAAUAUGUAAUUGAUCCUUUUUCUUAGUUACUACUACUACUUCUAAAUUUUAGGCCUUUAGGGUAGCAAAUUAUAGCUUUUGAUAUUCAUACUUUAACCAUUCAUUCAUUCUUUUGAGUGAGUGCCAAAUUUUUGUUUGAUAAACUGGUGCAUACGCCCAUCAUAUCAAGAUGUCUCUCUCUAUACAUCACAAUAAUAUCAAAUCACACUGUAUAUGAGCUCUCAAUUAUUUUACUCCAUAAAUAACUGAAUGUACUGAUAAAUAACUUAAAUCAUUCUUUUAAAAAACACAAGAAAUAUCAUCCAUCAUCUUAAUCUUUUAAAAAGUAUCGUAAUUUAAUUUGAUGAUUGUUUUAAAAUAAUGAUAAUUAGACAAAUGAAUUUUAAACUCAAACCCCACUUCACCACAAUUACAUCUGAUUUGUUCUUUUUUAUUUUUCUUGUUUAGACUCCGACCCCUCCCCCUCGGGUUGGGGCCGGUCCGGUGACCUUAAUAAUUGAUACCGUCCGGUGCAAUGUAUUUUUUUUUUUAACCACAAUUAUGAGAAUAAAAAAUAAAAAAUAAUAGAGCAAAUUUGAACAAAAAAACUGUAAAAGGAAGUAUGUUUUUUAUUGAAAAAAUACCGUAAACAGUUUACAAUAUUUUUCAAUAAAAAAUGUACUUCCUUUUAUAAUUUUUUGUUCAAACUUGCUCUAUUAUUUUUUAUUCUCAUAAUUGUGAUGGUACCGGUCAUUAAGGUGUACCGGACGGCCCACAAUUACUCCCCCUCCCCGUCCUACUCUUAACGCAAAAACAUAAAAUAAUCAAAUUUAAUUUUUUCUAAAAAAGAUAUUAUAAAAUCAAAAAAGAGUAUUUUCAUUUGGGUGAUUACUGCAUUGACCUCUUUUCUAUCUCUACUCUAAGUAAACAGUAGGGCUAAGCAAGUAACUUGCUAAUGGCAUAUUCGCCUAAACCCUCUUCUUAAACCCUAUCACCAUUAGUGCCAACCCCUGAAGUCUGUUGUGUCCUCGUCUUGUACUCUUUAGUCUUUCCUCGACUAGUAAAACGGCUAAGCGUUUUAUUCCUCUGCUGAAUCGGGUCUUGAUUGAGAAAAUAACCCCUCCAUCCAAGACCGCUGCUGGAAUUUUACUCCCAGAGAAGACCGCCAAGGUUAAACUCCCUGAAACCAUCAUCAGUUCCUUCUCCUUUUUUAUAUAAUGCUGUUCUUCUUCUGAACAAUUCCAAACUUUUUCUGGGUAUUGCUUAAAAAGUGUCGAAUGGAAUGUACAUCUUCGUGAUUUGAUGAGAAGACUUGCAUAAAGAAUAAUACUCUAGGCUAAUGGGUCUAUCUUUGGCAUGUCUAAAUUACAUGAUAUGGGUAAGGCUUAAUUUAUAGAUCAGGAUUUAGUUUAGUGUCACCAAUGUAAUGGAGGGUUUUCUGUUUCUUAAAAUGUGCUUGUGUGAUUUUUUUGGGAAUCCCACUUGUUUGUUUUACAUUUAAUUGCCUGAAGUCCGUGUGUGGUUGCCGUGAAACAGUGGGAAGUGAAAAUUAAAAUUUGUACUAUCAUGUUGUGCAAAUGUAUGGUUGAGAGUUUAUAAAGUUUUUAGAUUAUUUGCUUCCCAUGUUACAUUGCAUACCAUAUGGUUGGUAGUAGUGGACUUUCCUUUGGAUGAAUUCUGAUAUGGAAUUUAUAUUUUUUAGAUAAAUAUUGGAUUUUGAUUUGCAUUUGUUAUACAUCUUUGGUUUGGAUCAUUUAGCUGAACUCCGGAAAAGUUUUUGCUGUUGGUCCUGGGCACCAUGACAGCGAGGGAAAGCUCAUUCCUGGUUGUGUGAAGGAGGGGGACACUGUUCUGUUACCUGAAUAUGGAGGAAAAGAAGUAAAGCUCGGUGACAAAGAGUAAGUAUAUUUUUGCUAAAGUGCAUUUUCCUACCAGUUUUGGUCUUUUCUUUAAACUUAUGAUUAUAUGAUUCUCCCCUAUUCGCGUUGCUUCUUCCACCUAAAAAGUUCUAAGACACGCACCCAAAAAAAACAAAGAAAAGAAAAGUAUCAAUAACACCCUGAAAUAUUAAAAGCAUCGCGAAGAUGAGUUAUGUUCUUUAAACCAACUAAAAUAGUUAUGUUUCUUUGAUCCAACUGAAUAUGAAAUUUUAGUUGUUUUAUUAUACCUUUAUUUAACCAAAGAACUAGAAAUUUUGAAGUUGAAUCUUUUCCUGCAUCAACCAAGUUUUAGAACAGUGCUCUUUGUUUCUGUACAUCGGGAUGUGGCCAAAAGCUGACCUUUGAAUCCUAAUAAUAUACACACAGCAUUUCACCAUUGCACCUAUAUGCAAUGCAUAGUUAUUGCCAUGAUUAUUCAUGUCUUAGAUAGUUGAGAGUGAGUGAGAGGUGUCUUAGAAAAUGCUUGUGUUUUUAUGGGAAUUAUGGUGUGUCAACGGGUGUCACCUCCAUUUCACCGUUACAAACACAUAGGAAUUUAAAUUUAGCUAUUACUCGUAUUAACUAAUUCAGAAUCAUAGGAAAGUUAAUGUGCAACUAAGUGUCCUUGCGGAAACCACCAAGUACUACAAGGCCUCGUUUGUGAGCACCAUGUGUCUUUGUCCAAGUUACCCAUUUUGGCUUCGAAAUAUCGAAAAUGUACCCAGCAAGUAUGUGUGACGUCCCAAAAUAGGUAUACAUCACCUAUUCUUAGUCGCCAAAUACAUGGUACAAAAUACAAAUACAAUCUUUAAUAUACAACAAGAAAGCUGUGAGUUUUAAUACAAAUAUUGUCUUCUAGACAAUAUCCACUCUCAGAAUAAGUCCUCAUUACAUUUCUUGUCACACUAUUUAACAGAAUAGUGAGGACUACUAAUACUAUCAUCUGGACCGUCACUCCGUUCCCCGACUAGUCCCGGCUACGUUUUCAUUUCUUGAAGAGAACAGUGAAAGAAAGGGUGAGCUCAACUAGCCCAGUAAAGAAUAUCAUGACUUAAGAUAAUUAAAUUAUUAAAAGAAUUCAGAUAUUUAGAACAUAUGGUAAAAGAUAAAAGUUUUCAACCAUAAUAGCAGCGGAAUCAACAAUCCAUUAGAAGAGUUAAGUAGAACAUAAUGUCUACUAUCUCCUCUAGAUUAAAGGUCCAUCGUUAAUAUUUCAUUCCUGUAAUACUCAUCAACAGUUCUUUGUUAUACCUAAGACAAAGAGAACUCUCAUCACCUGUCUUCACCUGAACCACCACAAAUUAUAAUUAAAUUCACAAUUCGUAUUUAUAUAAUCAGAUAAAUCAACAGUUCAUACAACUGUAAAACCAAUAACCAACAGUCCAUCUUUGCACUACAGGCCAAAGAUAUACAACUGUAAAACCAAUAAUGCUGAGACUCAGCUUAAUAGUAUCACGACUACGAAUUAUCCAUGCACUACGGGCCAAGGAUAUUCGUGUUUUCAAUUAUGGUCAUGAUUAUACCGAAUAAUCCCUGGUUAUAAUCAUACCAAGUCUAUCUAUGCACUACGAGCCAAAGAUGACUUUUACCACAUCAUUUGUAACAUUACGGUCAUGAUUAUACCGAAUAAUCCCUGGUCAUAAUCAUACCAAGUCCAUCUAUGCACUACUGGCCAUAGACGACUUUCAACACAAUAUAAGCAUGAGAAUGAUGACAAUGAUAUAUAUAAUGAAUAAACAUAAAUCAUCAGAAUAAUAAGAUAACAUAGAUCUUAGUGAUUUUCAACUUAAUUAUCCAGAGUCCAAAUUGAUAACAUAAUAAUAGAUGAAGCACAAACUAUUAAGUAUAUUCUAAUCCUUUCAGGACUUUUCACCAUUUAAUGAUAAACUGAAUAAACGAAUAAUAAUAUCUUACCAUAAUAUGAAAGAAAAUGAUAUUCUUUUUAUCAUAAAAAUGAUACCCUCUUACCACAAUAAUGAUAUCCCUUACCUUAGCAUGUGACUUGAUUCUGCUUUCUGUGAAAUUGAUCAACUUAAACAAUGCUUGCAUUCUUUAUCUACACUUGCAGUAACAUUACACUCAAUAGAAAUACUCACAAUAUUAUACUCACAAUAUUGAAGAAAAAGAAUUCUAUAUUUUUAGUGUAGUGAUGGUGUGUGUUUAGUUACUCAACCGAGCAACCUAUUUAUACUAAAAAUUUAGUAAACAACUGCCACACCUGCUUUGACAAAAUAACCAAAUGGGGUAUAAAAUAAUGGUAGUGGAAUUUAUGGUCCCACAAAGAAAAUUAAAUCAACUUGUACACGUUUUAACAAAAUUUGUUCAAUAAUAGAGUUGUGGUCCAUACUACUUUAGAAAAAGUAGAGUGUCGGCAAGUCCUGCCAAACAUACUUUUGUAAAAAGAAAAUAAUUGAACAAACAUCUCUAUAUUGUACUUAUCUUUAAUCAACACCUUUUAUUCAUCAAUUAUUUACACAUUUUAAAUCUUUCAACAAUUAUACACAAUUAUUUAUUAAAACUCACAAUACUGUCAACUGGUUUAAUUAUAUCAUAUCAAAUAAUAUGAGUCACUGUGCAAUAACUAUGACAAUUAUUGAAUAAAAGACUGAUUGACUUCUUACGUAAUUAAGAAUCAAUAAUAUAAAUAACUGUGCAAUAACUACUGUGACAAUUAUUGAAUAAAAUACUGAGUGGCUUCUUACGUAAGAAUCAAAUCAAUAUCUUUAAAUUUUUAUUAAAAGUAAGGAUCAACAUCAAAUCAUAUGUAUCUCGAAUAACAUAUAAACCAACUAAUAAUUCAUUAUUCAUUUAAGUUGUCUUUAUUUAUCGUAUAAAAUCAUUAUUCAUAUUCCAAAAUUUUAGAAGUGAAUAAUAAAACUUGAGAAAUAUACAACCUCAUAUAUGACAAUCUAUUAUUCUGAUAUUAUCACCAUUUUUACUUUAACAAAAAUAUUAUUUUUGUUUUUAUCAUAACUCAUUCGUUACUAGUGCGUUUACAUCCCGACACCUCAUGAGCUUACUAACACUUCUAAAAUAUUUUAAAAAAAUAUGAUUCUGAAUUUUCCAAACAAAUUUCAUAUUUUUCAGAUUAUCUAACAAUUUUCUAUAAUUAUUUCUAUUUAUAAAAAAUAUCAUUUAAUAGCUUCAAAAUAGAAAUACUAACUUUACAUACUUUUAUAUCAUUAAAACAUUAUCAAUAUUAAUCUUACAUUAUUAUAAUAUUUUUCAGCAAAAAUCAUAAUUUUCCACCAUUCAUAGAAUUUUCUAUGAAUUUCUUCUAUUUUCAAACUAACUAUAAAUAGUUUAAAAAUAUAAUAAUUACUUCUGCUUUUCAAUAAUUUAUCAAAAUUUUACAGAAAUUCUAAGAUGAUAUUAUAAGCAUUCUGUAAAAAUAUUUCAACCAAAAUAAUUUUUCUGUUAAAUUAAUUAUAAACUCCAAUAUUCAGAAAUUUCAAUAAUUCACAAUAAUUAGCACUUUUAUCAGAAAAAAAUACAGAUCUUAUGUCCUUCCAUGUAAAAUUUAAUUCUCUACAACUUUUUAGAAGAAAGUUUUCCCAAAUUUUGACUCUAACAUAGAGAGAAAGGCUUACCGAAAUAUUCUGUUUGAUAAUUUUCGAACCAGCCACCUUACGAAAUUCACAACAGAUUAUAUAUUAAUCUUUAAUGGUUCAAAAUUUGUGGACAUAUACUCAACUUAUAUAUGCAUAACAUAUCCGAAAAUCACAACGAUCCAACGGUCGGAUUAAAAAUUAUAACUCACGCAAUAAAGCUUAAUAAAACUGAUUUUUUGGACUAUAAGUUCUUCGGACCAAUUUCACUCAAACUGUCACCACGAAGAAUCUACAAAGAAUUUUUGGGUGAUUCAAAUUUCUGCAUUUAGCUUACUUCCAUGGCUUUAUUUUGAUAUAUAGCUCAUCUCCUAACUCAUUAUACACAAAGAGUUAUGGAUUUUACAAAAUCAAGUAGUAAACUAAUUUUUAUGAAAAUUUCCAGAUUUUUCUUUUCAUUUGAUUUCUUGAUUUCUCUUACUUGAUUCAUGCUUAUACAAGUUUAAAACAUACAAUACAUACCUAAGUAUGUACUCUUUACAUAAAAUCCAUAUAAACUAAAAUCUAAGAAUAAAUCAAAGAUUUUUUUAGAAAUACCUUUUCUUCUUCUCCUUCUUUCUCUCUUCUCUUCCUUCCUCUCUCUCUCUCUCUCUCUCUCUCUCUCUCUCUCAUUCUUCUGAUUUCCCGUGACUAACAAAAUGGGUGGGAGUACUUCAUAUUUUUCUCGUUCCUUUUAUUUUGUUUUCUAUCUUUUCUCUCUCUCUCUUUUUCUUCCUCUUUUCCCUUAUUUUCUUCCUUUCCUUUUCUCUUUUCUUCUACCUAUUUUGUCUACGGGAGGAAGUGAGAAAAUGCAAAUGUAAAGUGCUGAACAUUUGGCCUACUUAGCCAAAAUAAAUGGCCAACAUCCUUGCCCCACCAAUAAAAGAA
rnacentral:lncRNA from 1 species